UACGUAGGUGGCAAGCGUUGUCCGGAAUCACUGGGCGUAAAGGGCGCGUAGGCGGGGUUUUAAGUCAGAUGUGAAACCUGCAGGCUCAACCUGGAGCAUGCAUCUGAUACUGGGACUCUUGAGUGCAGGAGAGGACAGUGGAAUUCCUAGUGUAGCGGUGAAAUGCGUAGAUAUUAGGAGGAACACCAGUGGCGAAGGCGGCUGUCUGGACUGUAACUGACGCUGAAGCGCGAAAGCGUGGGGAGCAAACAGG
rnacentral:rRNA from 1 species